UACGUAGGGGGCAAGCGUUGUCCGGAAUCAUUGGGCGUAAAGAGCGCGUAGGCGGCCCUGUAAGUCCGCUGUGAAAGUCAAGGGCUCAACCCUUGAAUGCCGGUGGAUACUGCAGGGCUAGAGUCCGGAAGAGGCGAGUGGAAUUCCUGGUGUAGCGGCGAAAUGCGCAGAUAUCAGGAGGAACACCGAUGGCGAAGGCAGCUCGCUGGGACGGUACUGACGCUGAGGCGCGAAAGCGUGGGGAGCAAACAGG
rnacentral:rRNA from 1 species